GGGGGGGUGGCUUUUGGGGCUCGAGCCCCGAAUGUUUUGUCAAAAGCCCCGAAUCUUUUCAGAUCUGUAAAAUGAAUUCAUCCAGGACGCUAGGUGGCGGCACUCAGCUUUAACUCUCCGGUCCCCCACUCAACUGAAAAUGAAUAAGAGAUGCGUGUACUUGUGCUGAAGGCAAAAUAACAUUCUGAAUCUCCCCACAGUAAACGCAUUUUCAAAGUGUCUUUAUUAUUACAGUGCCUUCGUUAUUACUGUAAGUGUAUAUUUAUAGUUAUGUGAUGUAAAUACUGUUAAAUAGCGUCAACUGAUAUAUUAUCUGCAUGGCUAACGUCUAACUUACUGUGGUGCUCUGGUCUAGUCUGCCUCAUUGGUCAUUGAUGGAUAUACGAUUUAUAUUUUUAAAGACGUCAGAAGUAAGAAGUGCAAAUAGGAAGAGAGGAGGGUGGAGAGAGAUCACAGACAGACAGAAAGAGAGAGAAACGCUUCCAUAAGCAGGUGAGAAAUUGUUCUGUCAAUGAAGUCAAAAAUUGUUAUUCUUAUGUAGCUUUAUAGUUACUGGAUUAGCCUUCAGCAAACAUGUUUGCCUAUUUUUGGAUAAGAGAAGUUAAAGUAUCAUUGUCAAAAUUUGUUAUGUUGCAG